UUGCUUUCGCGCGUUCGCGUACGUACCGCACGACGCGAUGAACUGCUUCAGGUGCGCGAUGUCCGCCUGCUCCUUCUCGUACUUUUUCUGCUGCACGAUCUCGUUGUCCCUCACCGUCCGCUGAUACGUGUCGUAGUUGCCCGUGUAGUACGUCAACCGCCCUUGCGUCAUCCAGAUGAUGUGCGUGCACACGCCGUUCAGGAAAUCCUGCGAGUGCGAGACGAGGAUGAGGCAUUUCUUGUACUUGGCGAGGUACCCCUCGAGCCACACGCACGCCUCCAAAUCG
rnacentral:lncRNA from 1 species